rnacentral:lncRNA from 1 species
AUUUAACGGUUGGAAAAUGGGUAACCGGCUGAAGCUGUAAUACCAGUAAAACGAAAACAAAAAAGAUAAUUCAAUCCAAUUUCGCAGAGCUCUCUCUCUUUUUCUCUCUCUCUCUCUUCGUGAAUACUCUUGUAUUUCAUCCACAAUUGACUGUCACAGUUCUUCAAGCAAAAUCAGCUAUUGCGUUGAGAGAGAAAGCUGCUACUGCUGCUGCGUUGAGAGAGAAAGCUGCUGCUGCAUCUCGGCUCCGUGUGCUAUUGCGAUUGCGUCUCUGCUCUGUUGCUGCUGUAAUUGAGAAUCGACGGCUGCUGCUGCUGCCGCUUCGUCUCUGCUCUGAUUCAGCUAGUGGUGGUGCUGCUACGUCUCUGCUUUGAUUCGCCUAGUGAUGGUGGUGGUGGUGGUGCUGCAUCUAUGUAAGGCGCCAACUUGAGUUCUGAGUUUGCAGAAGUGGGCGGCUUGCUUUGCUAAUUUGGGGCUAGGGUUUUUCCUUUUCCCAUCCCUUGACUUAAUGAUUUUUAAAAAAUAAAAAUAAAACCCGCACGACAUGACGGGUUCAGUUCCGAUUUGGAUCAAAUUAAGUCCAGUUCGUUAUUGUGAAAUCGUAAUAAACAAAUAAAUUGGGGGCUGAAAAAUCUGGUCGGAAUUUCAAUUUGUAUUAAUUAAUUGACUUUUUGAAUUUCUUUCCAAUAAAAUUAAGCUAUGUUCAAGUGUUUGUAUUUUGGUAAAUUGUGCUGCAUCUAUUUUGUUCAUGUGAUUGUUAAUUUAUUUUGUUUUUCUAGGUUUUGUUGGUAUGAUUGUUAAUUUAUUUUGUUUUUCUGAGUUUUGUUUAUAUGAUUGUUAAUUGAUUUUGUUUGUUCUUUUCUUUACUUGCUGUAAUUUCAUUUUCCGUUGGGGUAAAUUCAAGAAUUAUGAUUUAUGAGUCUAAAUUGUUUUGAAUGUAUGAUAUGCGAGGGUUCUGCCUACAAUUACUUUGGCUAGUGUGUCAACUGCAGGCUCUGUGGAGGGUAAGGUAAAAUAGUUUAUGAAUAAAUUGAAGAAUUGGUGAUAUAGGUGGUUACGGCUGAAAUUGUAGAAGAGUUUUCUUCAAUUUCUACCCAGUAAAUGUGAUAUUUACAAUCUCAGCAGAUGAGAGAGUAAGCUUUGCUAUUCAAUACAUGUUUCAUUAAUUCACUUGGGUAUUGAAACCCCGAAGCUUUUUUUUUUUUUUUU